UUUUAAAGUAAUUAUCUUUUUCUGAAUUAAAAUAAAUAACUGUUAAUUUUUUCUAAAUUUGAAUAAAUAACCAUUCCAUUUCCUAAAUUUAGAUAUCAAAGUUUAGCUCACAAUAACUAAAUUAGUUUGAAAAUUUUAAUGUUUCACUGAGAUUUGGACUUCCAACAACUUGAAUUUAACAAUAUUAUAGCGUCUGAUUGCAACAUGAAUACAUUACUUACUUUUUUUUUAAAUUGUUUAAAAAUUGAACACUAGCAAGUCAGUAGAACAUUACCUAUAAACUAGACAUGAAACCCAAUCACCAUACCCCAUCACCAUACCCCAUCACUAUACCCCAUCACUAUACCCAAUCACCAAACCCAAUCACUAUACCCCAUCACCCAUACCCCCAUCACUAUACCCAAUCACCAUACCCAAUCACAAUAUGGAUAGAAUAAAAGGUAAAGGUUAUACUGGCUUGCUGAUGUUUUCUUCUUCGUUUUCUUUAAUUAUCCCCUCGACCCACAUAGCAACAGCUUUAUAUAUAUAGUUGACCUGGGACUGAGCUUUGGAGCAGCUUGGGUGGAAUAAGGCAACAUCCAGGAACUGGAAUUUAAGAGCUCAGAGGUCUUGGAGGAGAAGCCUAGGGGUCGGAUGAAAGGGAGAGUGAGACUCCAGACACUUGUAUUUAAGGGCAACAGGGUAGGGGAUAGUUAACCCAAAACAAGUCCAGGGACUUAUUUUUAAGGGCAUGGGGGUCGGGGAGGGUUAUCCCAUGGGGGUCAAGGGACUUGUUUUUAAGGGCUUGGGGGUCAGGGAGGGUUACCACAUGGGAGUCCAGGCACUAAGGGUUACCACAUGGGAGUCCAGGCACUUGUUUUUAUGGGAUUAGGGGUCGGGGAGGAUUACCCCAUGGGAGUCCAGGAUCUUGUUUUUAAGGGAUGGGGAUUGGGGAGGGUUAACCCAUGGGAGUCCAAGGACUUGUUUUUAAGGGAUCGGGGUCAGGGAGGGUUACCCCAUGGGAGUCCAUGCAGGGACUUGUUUUUAAGGGAUGGGGGUCGGGAAGGGUUACCCCAUGGAAGUCCAGGGACUUGUUUUUAAGGGAUUGGGGGUCUGGGAGUGUUACCCCAUGGGAAAUCCAGGGACUUAUUUUAAGGGUUUUUUGGUCAGGGAGGGUUACCCCAUGGAAAUCCAGGGACUUGUUUUUAAGGGCUUUGGGUCGGGGAGGGUUACCCCAUGGGAGUCAGGGACUUGUUUUUAAUGGUUUUUGGGUCAGGGAGGAUUACCCCAUGGAAAUCCAGGGACUUGUUUUUAAGGGCUUUGGGUCGGGAGGUUACCCAUGGGAGUCAGGGACUUGUUUUUAAUGGUUUUUGGGUCAGGGAGGAUUACCCCAUGGAAAUCCAGGGACUUGUUUUUAAGGGCUUGGGGUAGGGGAGGGUUAACCCAUGAGAGUCCAGUCUAUUUGGAGGUUGGAGAGGGCUACUCCAUGGCCUAGUGUAAUAGAGAGUUGCUGGGUAAGGAGGGGAAGUAAGUAAUGUGUUGGUGUUGUAAUUUCACACUGUUCUGAUACUGUUUAGUU
rnacentral:lncRNA from 1 species